CAUUAGUGCGUUAUAUUCACAGUUGGUUUUGUGAUUGUAUUUGUUUUAAUUUCAGAAUAACAGAGCGUUGAUGAAAUUUACGGUGAAUGUUCCAACCACAUUCCGAUCUGCAAAAUAUUUGAUGUCACAUUGAAAAUAAAUUUCAUCAUUGGAAUUAAAAUACAGGGUGACUUUGUUGAGAGCGUGCGAAAGAUUUGGAUGCGAAAGAAAAUCAGCGACUACAUAGAUCAUAAUCCAAACAAUUUCAUAACCAAAUCAUGACGAAUAGUGUUUCCGUAUUGGUUCUGUAGACCAAACCAGAGCGGUUGAAAAACGUGGUUGGCUGUAACGCGUCGCAACAUCCUGAAAAAAUCUGAUGAACCGGCCGUUGAAAUGAGCUAUUUUGAAAUGUAUUUUGAAAUGUGUUUGAAUCGUAACUCACUAUUUUUUAUGAAUUUGAAUUUUGAAGAAAAACAUCACAAUACCAAACACGCGAUUACACUGUGAUACUCAGCAGAAAAGAAGAGAUAAAGAGGCGAAAAAAUUAGCUGGAUGGUCUGAUAUCGAAGAAAAGAAUCAUCUGAAGUCAUACUCAUUCAUUCCACCAUCACCACGUAAUUCAUCUGUAUUUUAGUCUCAAGUAUACAAAGCACUGUUGAGUCAGCACUCAGCAGCGGCUAACUUAGGUGCUCAAAUACUUCGUUCCUUGAGUAAAAUACUAGGUAAAAUAUGAGUAAUAAACAAUGUUUUUGACCCCGAAUACAAAUACAUAAACAGUAAAAUCAAUCAUUGUACUGAAGUGAA